CCGAUUUAGCCACUUCCUGCCAGAUUCCGGAUAUACGUCAUCCGUAGUCGAGCCGUGGCCUAGCCACUGCUUCACUACUGUAAGCGAGGGAAGGAAAUUUUGGAAUUUAACAAUUUUUUUUUAAUUUGUCGAGCGUUUUUAGACUCAUAAUCUUCGAAGAUGCCAGGAGCAACAUGUGCUGUUGCAAAUUGUGAUAACAGCCAUUGUAAAACAAAAGUCAUUAGACAGGAAAGUCAGUUAUUUUAGAUUUCCUAAAGAUCCAAUAAUAAGAAGAAAAUGGAUCCAUAACUGUAAAA
rnacentral:lncRNA from 1 species